CUUCUACUGUUGUUCGCCCGAUGCUUGCUGCUGCCGCUUGCUCCCUUCUUUUUGUUACCAUGGUCUCCUUUUUAUAGGCUUCAGUGUCUCCGAGUUACAGUCGUAUCCGGGCUCUUGAUUCUUCAUGGAGUUCUUAUUUGUUUCAGUCUCAGUCUUCGCCACGUCCCAAGCUCUCUUGUAUGAUAGCCUGCUAAGCCGCCAAACUCAAUUAAAUUCCAUCCGCACCCAGGUCGCAUCUUGGCCGCAAGCCAGACUCUCUUGUGUCCACGUUUAAAUGCGCGUGGCCACUCUUCAUGCAAAGCUUGAAGUCCCAGACUUUUUUAAAUCACCCA
rnacentral:lncRNA from 1 species